UGAGGGAAAGGUGAAAAGCACCCCGGAAGGGGAGUGAAACAGUUCCUGAAACCGUGUGCCUACAAGUAGUUAGAGCCCGUUAAUGGGUGAUAGCGUGCCUUUUGUAGAAUGAACCGGCGAGUUACGAUUUGUUGCAAGGUUAAGCGGAAAAAGCGGAGCCGUAGCGAAAGCGAGUCUGAAUAGGGCGCAUAAGUAACAGGUCGUAGACCCGAAACCAGGUGAUCUACCCAUGUCCAGGAUGAAGGUAAGGUAAUACUUACUGGAGGUCCGAACCCACGCACGUUGAAAAGUGCGGGGAUGAGGUGUGGGUAGCGGAGAAAUUCCAAUCGAACUUGGAGAUAGCUGGUUCUCUCCGAAAUAGCUUUAGGGCUAGCCUCGAGGUAAAGAGUCAUGGAGGUAGAGCACUGUUUGGACUAGGGGCCCUUCUCGGGUUACCGAAUUCAGAUAAACUCCGAAUGCCAUGUACUUAUACUCGGGAGUCAGACUGCGAGUGAUAAGAU
rnacentral:rRNA from 1 species